rnacentral:lncRNA from 1 species
UUCGCUUUAUGGCGUGCUCGUUUGGGCUGGGCGUCGGCUAAGAGUGCUCGGAGCGUGGAUUAACUCCAGUCUCCAAUCAGGUGUGUAUUUAUCACUACUCUUGUUGUUGGAUGGCUACUUCGGGCCGCGAUGGGCCAAAAGGGGCCAUGUGGGCCCAAUGGGCCUACGAGCCCAAUUGGAUAAGUUGUUUGAUUGUGUAGUAAAUAUUGGACUAGGCUAGGUGAAUCGCAUAUCUGUGGCUAGGUUUGGGCUAAAAGGGCCACACGAGCGUAUGGGCCCAUUUGGGCCGAGAAUAGGCUUUAGGCCCAUUCGUAUUGUUAUCCAUGUUUAGAAUACUUUAGUUUACCAAUUACUGAAAUGCCCUCGACUUGUAAAAUUACCAAAGUACUAUCGAUUUACAGAAUUACCGUUUUACCCUCAGUUUACAGAAUUACCAUUUUACCCUCGAUUUACAGAAUUACCAUUUUACCCUCAGUUUACAGAAUUACUAUUUUACCCUCGAUUUAUAGAAUUAUCGUUUUACCCUCAAUUUGUAAAAUUACUAUUUUACCCUCGAUUUACAGAAUUACCAUUUUACCCUCGAUUUACAGAAUUAUCAUUUUACCCUCAGUUUACAGAAUUACUGUGUAACACCCCGUACCCGAGACCGUUGCCGGAGUCGGACACGAGGGGUUCACAGACUAAAUUCGCUUACUAUCGCAGUCCAUUUUAAAAAUUUCCGGGCAGUUGGCUAACUGCGUCACUGUCACCUUAAAAAUCAUAUCUUGAGUUUCACAACUCGAAAAUCAGUUUCGUAAUUUUUCCCUGAAACUAGACUCAUAUUCCCAUCUACAUAUUUUUUUCUAGAAUUUUUGGUUGGGCCAAUUAGUACAUUUUAUUCGUUAAAUUCUCCCUUGUUACAGGGUGCGACUACACUGACCUUCAUGCAUUACGAUUUGGAUAUCUCCCUGCACAGAGUUUCAAUACUGAUGCCGUUUGUUUCUAUAGAAACUAGACUCAGAGAGGAAUCUAUACAUAUAUUUCAUGACUCCUAAUUAUCUCUGGUUAAUUUAUAAUGAAUUUCCAAAGUCGGAACAGGGAAUCCAGAAACCGUUCUGGCCCUGUCUCACGAGAACCUGAAUAUCUCUUAACAUACUGUCCAUAUGAUCGUUUCGUUACUUUCCUAUGAAAAUAUAUUCAUCAAGGUUAGCUUACAUAAUUUAUUCACUAUUUAAUUCCAUUUCUACUAUUUUUAGUGAUUUUUCACAUCCACAUCACUGCUGCUGCCAGCAUCUGUUUUUUUUAAGGUAAACUUUACCUAUUUCAUGAUCCUCCAUGGAUCAACUAGAGUUUGUCAUACAUAUUCCAAAAGUGAUCAAGAAUAACCCUUCCCAUGGCUAACCGUUACCAACACUUCCAUACCUCUCGACAGACAACAUACAAAAUGAUUAUAAUGCUAUGAUCAAAGUAUAUUUAAGCCAUUUUCGCAUGGCUAUCCAAAUUUACACAAAACCGAAGGGUACAUGACCAACAACAAAAGGGUAGUCCUAUACAUGCCAUUUCAAAGUUCAACCAAAAUUGUACCAAAAGGGGGCUUUGAUAGUGUGGGAGACUUCGACUUCCAAAAAUCCCGAGUCCGAUAGCUGACGAACCAAAAUCUAUAAAACAGAGAUUCAAAGAACGGAGUAAGCAUUUAAUGCUUAGUAAGUUUUAAGCAGUGUCAACAGAUAACAAUCAAAUUAUAACAUAGUUGUUCGUAUUUUUUAUUUCACUCUUCCUUCGGGCAUACCAUCCCUUUACCGAAUAUGCACAUCUCAUCAUAUACAAUAGGCAGAUAAACUUUCACAUAAAAGUGAGCUCAUGUGACAUAGAUAUAUCGUAUGAUUUCACAUAACCUCUCACACUGAUCCGAUGUCACAUAAUCAUAGGAAUAGUCUCAUAGAUUGCUCUCGUAUGCAUCACAUAACUACCUUAUGAUUUAGUGCAAAUCAAGCUCACAUAUAAACUUGGAGUACAUACCUGUUUAACCUUUCGCAUUGAAUAUAUUUAUAAGCAAUUCUUAUUACGAAGUCUUACCCGGACAUAAUCUCCACACGAAGUUAUCGGGUCUUACCCGGACAAAAUCCCCACACGUAGUCAUCGGGUCUUUAGAGCUCGGAUAUAGUACGAGCACGAAGCUUACGGACAUUAAUCAGUGAUAAUAUUCUCGCAUAAAGCCUGCGGGGUUUUAACCCGGAUAUAGUACUGACCCAAAUGCCCUUCGGGACUUAUCACAUUUAUACACUUUCACAUCCAUCACGUUGGCCACUCGGCCCUGUCACAUAUAUACACUUUCACAUUCAUCACAUCGGCCAUUAGGCCUUAUCAGAUAUAUACACUUUCACAUUCAUCACAUCGGCCAUUAGGCCUUAUCACAUAUAUACACUUUCACAUUUAUCACAUCGGCCAUUAGGCCUUAUCACAUAUAUACACUUUUACAUUCAUCACAUCGGCCAUUAGGCCUUAUCACAUAUAUACACUUUCACAUUCAUCACAUCGGCCAUUAGGCCUUAUCACAUAUAUACACUGUCUUGGCUAAAUCUACAUCUAUCAUUUUCCAAUAUCACAAUUUAGAAUUCACGUAUGGGUUUAAUCAAUAGCUUAUGAGCAACUAAAACAAGUUUAUCAAGGUUUACAACACAAUCUCAAAUUCAGCACAAGCUGUUUUUCCAGAGCAAUAGUCACUAAAUUAUUUAUAACUGGAGCUACAAAACUCCAAAUCACUUUCCGUUAAUUUUUCCUGAAUAUAGACUCGUAUAUCUUCCAUCCAUAAAAUUUCCAGAAUUUUAGGUUUGGCCAAUCAAUACCAGAUUUUUCUUAAAGUUUCCCCUGUUUCACUGUUUGACUAAUCUGACCACUCUUCACUACGAAUAAAAUUUCUCAUUUUACAGAAUUCAAAAUGGGUUGUAUUUGAUUUAAUUUGAAACUAUACUCAUUAAGGAGUCUAAGCAUAUAAAUUUUAUCUUAUAACCAUUUUUGUACAAUUUAUAAUGAUUUUCUAAAUACAGAACAGAGGAUUACAGUGUCAUUCUGCGCUGUCUCACACAACUUUAAGUAUCUCAUUAUCGGAAAUUCCUUUGCUUACACGGUUUCUUUUAUAAGAAACUAGACUCAUUAAGCUUUAAUUUCAUGUCUCAUUCAGCCUCUAAUUCAAAUCCAUAAAUUUAUGGUGAUUUUCUAAAGUCACGUUACUGCUGCUGUCCUAAGCAGACUAUUUCAAAUUACCCUUAAAUUCCCAAGCUCAAACACUUAAGAACUUACCAUUUGAACUUAGAACAUAUCAUGGCCACAUCAUAUCUUAUUAAAUCAACUCAUCAUGUCCUAUUAUAAUUGAAUUUACUCAACGUUUAAUCACUUAAAACUUACCUCGGAUGUUGUCGAACGAUUUCGGCGGCUAUUCGACCACUUUUUCCUUCCCUUUAUCGGAUUUAGUUCCCCUUUGCUCUUGAGCUUAAUUCAAACAAAUUUAACUCAUUAAAGUCUCAUUUUGCUAGCUUAUGGCCGAAUAUACACAUAACUUAUGUACUUAUUCAUGUGGCCGAACAUACAUGUCUAUGUUGGGGCCGAUUGCAUCACAACACCAUACCAUUUCAAUUUUUGGUCAUGGUUAAACAAAGAACUUAAUGUCUCACUCAAAAAUGCUAAAAAGAAGAUUCAAGAAUCAUCAAUCCACCAUCACAUGCACCAUUACAAAGCUUCACUUUUAGCAUGCAAAUGAUAUCAACACCAAUCCACCUUGGCCGAAUAUCAUCUCCAUGACAUAGUAAAGAUUUGAACCAUGGGCUAUUUAGAACUCAAGCUAACUACUAAAACAUGCAUGCAUCUCAUGGAACAUCAUCAAACAUACCUUAGUCUAUCAAACCACCAUAGCCGAUUUCCUCAAAGCUCUUUUUCCUUCUUUUUCUUCCUCCUAUUCGGCCAAGAACUACAUGAGAGCCUUUCUCUUCUUUCUUUUUUUUGUCAUGCAUGAGAAUGAUGAACACAUUUUUUUCUCUUUGUUUUCUUCCUUCAAUUUCUUAUUAGUUUAUUGCCCAUGCUUCUUAUUUUAUUCUUCCAUUAACACAACAUGUUUCAUGACAUGUUUUGCCCAUGCUUCUUAUUUUAUUUUUCCAUUAACACAACAUGUUUUGCCCAUCAUCCCUUGUCAUGGCCGGCCACUAGUACUUAAAUGGGGGGAAAUUGACAUGCAAGUCCACCCCUUUGAUUACAUGCACUAUUAGGCCACUUGCAUUUGCCUAGCACAUUUCUAAAUUUUCUCACAUAAGUCCUAUCAACUAAAUUCACAUGCAAUUAACUAAAUCGAAGCUUAAAACUUUCACACAUUUAUAUUCACAUAUUUUAGGCAAUAAUUAUCACAUUCAAAUAAUUUGGUGACUCGGUCUAGCGGUCCCGAGAUCGCUUUUCGACUAGGGUCACUUUAGGGGUGUCACAUACUGUUUUACCCUCGAUUUACAGAAUUACUGUUUUACCCUCGAUUUUUAAAAUUACCAUUUUACCCUCGAUUUAUAGGAUUACUGGUUUACCCUCGGUUUACAAAAUUAUCAUUUUACCAUCGAUUUAUAGAAUUACUAUUUUACCCUCAAUUGUGAAAUUACUAAAAUACCCUUAUAGGGUAGAAUUACCGAAAUACCCCUAUAGGGUAGAAUUACUAAAAUACCCUUAUAGGGUAGAAUUACUGAAAUACCCCCGUAGGGUAGAAUUAUCGAAAUACCCUUGUAGGGUAGAAAUACCGAAAUACCCCUGUAGGGUAGAAUUACCGAGAUACCUUUGUGGGGUAAAAUUACCAUUUUGCCCCUAGGGUGUUAAAUGACUGUUUUGCCCUUGUGGGAAAGUGACUGACUUGGACUGUGUGGUUGACGGAUUUGAUUGUGAAUAUAUGUUGGUGAUAUGAAUGACUUGACUGUGAUUGUUUGAUUCAAAUAUGGGCAUGACAUUCUGCAUACAUGACAUGUUGUAUGGGUUGGGAUUUUGUACGGAGGAAGCGUUCUGGUGGCUAUGCCACAAAUAUCUGUUCUGGUGGCUCUGCCACAAUAUCUGUAUCUGGUGACUCUGUCACAAUAUCUGUUGACCGAUCGAUGGCUGAGUGCCGAUCACGUUACCGAAGGCUGUGUGCCGUUGUUGUGGGCUUCGUGCCGAUUAUGGACCCGUUAUUAAUGGCUCUGUGCCAACCUAAAUAUGGCUUUGUGCCAUCUUGACUAUGGCUUCGUGCCAAACGUAUUUACCUAUAGCUAUGUGCCUAACAUAUUUGUUGACGACUCUGUGUCGAUUAUAUUUACCGAAGGCUGUGCGCUAGUCAUAUUACCGUCACUAAUGGCUAUGUGCCGAAGUUAUUACAGUUAUCUAUGGCUUGGUGCCACGUAUUCUGUUAGGUGGGUUUGCCACAUUAUCUGAUUCUGGUGGCUCUGCCACAAUAUCUGUAUCUGGUGACUCUGUCACGAUAUCUGUUCUGGCAGCCAUGCUGCAAAUUUUAUGGUGUGUAGCGGAUGGGUGGGUCGAGUUGUCUCCCCACAUGGUGUAAGGUUGGUACGAGGGUGUAUACGGCUUGAUUGGGUUGGGAUUGCAUUCACAUUCUGAUUCUGAUUCUGUCACCUAAUUCUGAUUCUGAUUCUGUUACUAAUAUUGAUUCUGAUUCUGAUUUUGUUACUGAUUCUGAUUCUGAUUCUCAUUUUGGUUCCAAUUCUGAUAAUGUUUCUUAUUCUGUAAUGGGCUAAGGUCCAUCUGGUACUGUCUGUUGUAAUGGGCUAAGGCCUGAUUGGUACUGAAAUUGUAAGUAAGGCUGGGGCCAGACUUUUAAUUCUUUUAGAUGACUGACUGUUCCUUUUUAUAGUAGGGGAUUUCACACUGAGUUUUCGUAAACUACCCCGUUUAUUAACCUUUCAGGUAAUUUCUAGCCUUAGAUGGAUCGGGGUUGCUAGGGGCUCGGAGGAAGCCACACACACUAUUUAUGUUACAGUUUUGAUUAUUACCUUUAUACUAUUUUAUGUGGGUUGUAGUAAAGCCGUUGUAAUUUUCUGGAUUUCAAAUUUGGAAUUUUAUUUAUUGUUCUUAUAAUUGCUAGUAUUAGAACACGAUUUUCCAAAGCAACUACUGUUAUUCAAAACAUCACGUAACCGCAAUUGUUUUUAAAGUAAGUUUCCGCAACUACCAAGAUUUUUACAAAGUUGUUAAGAAUGUUAUUUCAGCUGAGGUUUUCUAACAAGUUUUAAAAAGGGCAUAAGUUUUUAAUUAUUAAGAAGGGUUUUUAAUGGAAACAUGGUUUUCGAAAAACACUUCAAUGUGACACGCCAAGUUCGAGCCAAACUUCCAGGCCGGGUUUGGGGUGUUACAAUAAUCUAGCUAAUGAGGGGACUAUUUUGCAAAAUGGUUGGAAUUUUUAUGGAAGAAAAUGAAUCUUGGUUGUUAAAUAAACAAUUUUUGUGAAGUGGUGUUCAUGAAAAACACCUAAAAAGGGCUAUUUUGUAAAGUUGUAAAAUAAGUUGUAAAUGUGUGAAAUAGUUGAAAUUUUUAGUUGCUAUAGUUAUAAAAAAAAUUUGGCUAGGCUUGGUAAAGGAGGAAAUUCAAUAAAAAUCGAUUUACGAGCCUAAGUCCAAAAUUAUAAUUUUUGUAAAGUCUAAGGGCAAAAUGGUCAUUUUUCCAAAUUGUGAAUUAUAGAAUGUUUUAAUUAAUGUAAUGAUUAAAUGAGUGAAUUUCAUCAUGUUAGAUAAAAAAAUUGAGAUUCGGGCUUAAAUCGAGAAAGUACGUGGUUAUGGAAAAAAAGAGAAUAAUUAGCUGAAAUUGCAUUCGAGGUAAGUUUGUAUGAUGAAAUAAGCAUGUUGUUAAUGUUAUUGAUAUUUGUGGCUGAAAUCUAAAUUGGUAUGUUAAACUAGUUGUGAUGAAUUAUUUUUUUACGAUGGUAAGAGCAUAUGCAAAUAAUGUGGUGUUGUAGCAUAUUUUUAAUGUUUUGAUAUAAUGUGAUAUAUGUGAGAAAUCUGAAUUUAUUGAGUUGGUCCAAGUUCGUGAUAUAUGUGAAGCAUCCGAGCUCGUUGAGUUGGUCCGAGUUCAUAAUGGAUGUGAUACAAGUGACAUUCGAGCUCAUUGAGUUGGUCCAAGCUUAUUAUGGAUGCGAUACAUGUAAUUGGGUUCCGGGCAACGGUCUUGUGUGUUCUACUAGUGGCUAGGUAAUCCUUAAGUUGGUCGGAUACCUAACAGCUUGUAUGAGCAGCCUGUGUAGCUACAGCUUGACCGAUAGCUUUUAUAAGCAAGUCUAUGAGUAGCUCCAUUGCGAGCGUUACAUGUUAUGAGGUAGAUUUGGCUACAUAUGUGUAUGUGGCACUUAUGUGCAAGUGUUCCGAGUAUCCAAUAGUAUUCCGAGUGUUCAACGGGUAAUACAAUAGAUGAUGUAAGAAAAGUUCCGAAGAGGACAUGUUACGAAAGGUAUAAUUGUAUACUAUAUUACGAGUGGUACAGGUAUGUACACUAAGCCUAUGAUUAUGAAUUUUGUUGCAAUAUCAUGUUAACUUAUAUUGUGCAUUUGAACAUGGAAUUCAUGAAAUGGUGAGUACAUGAUUAGUUGAAAGUGAACUUAUGAUGGUUAUCAUUACAUUGCACUAAAAUAGUGUUGGACAGCAGCAAUUGUGUAACUUUAAAAAAAUCCACAAAAAAUUGUGGAAAUUGAGUUGGAGACUGAAUAAAAUAUGAAAUUAAAGCUAAUGAGUCUAGUUUCACAUAAAAGAGACGGUGUAAGCAAAGGAGUUUCAUAUUAUGAAAUAUUUAAAUUGUUGUGAGACAGAGUUAGGAUGAUUUCAAAAUCCCCUAUUCUGAUUUGAGAAAUUCAUUGAAAAUUGUAAAAAAAUAUUUAUGGGUUAUAAUUUAUAUUCCUAGAAUUCUUAAUGAGUCUAUUUUCAAGAGAAAUAGACACGAACAUCAUCUGAUUCCCGUAUAAUGAGAUAAUUAAUUUUUAGUGAAGAUGGGUUAGAACUGUUAGACAGCAAAAAAGGGUAGCUUUAAGGAAUAAACUUUACUUAUUAGCUAGACUAAAAAUUUUGGAAAUUUUAUGGUAAGAAUAUAUGUGAGUCUAGUUUCAGGAAAAAUUAGCGAAUCUUAAUUUGGAGUUAUGUAGCUCCAGAUAUAAAUAAAUUGGUAAAUAUGACUCGAGAAAAUAGCAUUACCAGAAUAUAAGUGAAAGUGUAAUUAUGGUUGUAUUACCUUGAGAAGCAUGUUGGCAUAUUGCUUAUUAUUUUCAUAUGGACUUACUAAGCUUUAAGCUUACUCCCUCCUCUCCAUUUCUUUAGUGUUGUCAGGUUAGCUCGGGGUUGGAGAUCGUGGGAGGCAGUAUCACACUAUCAAGCUACUACCUUUGGAGUAUUGAUACAUAUGUUAGCAAUUUCAAGUGAGUGGCGUGUAUAGGGAUCUAGUUUAUUGACAUGUAUUAUUAUGUUCUGGCCAAAUGUAUUGGCUUAUAUUGAGUUAUAUGUAUAUGGCCAUGAGAUGUGGCUCAUAUUGAUUAUGGCUUGUAAACCUAGCUAUUCAUGUCAUGUCUACUGUUUAUGAUGUGAUUAUGUUUGUUUGCUAUGCAUGGUUGGUAAUA